UACAGAGGUCUCAAGCGUUGUUCGGAUUCAUUGGGCGUAAAGGGUGCGUAGGCGGCGCGGUAAGUCGGGGUGUGAAAUCUCGGAGCUUUAACUCCGAAACUGCAUUCGAUACUGCCGUGCUUGAGGACUGGAGAGGAGACUGGAAUUUACGGUGUAGCAGUGAAAUGCGUAGAGAUCGGUAAGGAAGACCAGUGGCGAAGG
rnacentral:rRNA from 1 species